GUGGGGAAUUUUGGACAAUGGGGGAAACCCUGAUCCAGCCAUGCCGCGUGCGGGAAGAAGGCCUUCGGGUUGUAAACCGCUUUCGGCCGGGAAGAAAUCGUCAGGGCUAAUAUCCCUGAUGGAUGACGGUACCGGAAGAAGAAGCACCGGCUAACUACGUGCCAGCAGCCGCGGUAAUACGUAGGGUGCGAGCGUUAAUCGGAAUUACUGGGCGUAAAGCGUGCGCAGGCGGAUAUUUAAGUCAGACGUGAAAUCCCCGGGCUUAACCUGGGAAUGGCGUUUGAAACUGGAUGUCUAGAGUGCGGCAGAGGGAAGCGGAAUUCCACGUGUAGCAGUGAAAUGCGUAGAGAUGUGGAGGAACACCGAUGGCGAAGGCAGCUUCCUGGGCUGACACUGACGCUCAUGCACGAAAGCGUGGGGAGCAAACAGGAUUAGAAACCCUUGUAGUCC
rnacentral:rRNA from 1 species